CUUCCACUUUUUUUCUUUCGCUGUGAACACGAAUGGCUUCAAGCGACUAGAAAAGAGUUAUUUUAAAGCACGGUUAGACGUCCCCGUCGGCUAAGAUGGAGCAACUGGGACCAGAGGUACCACCUGCUUGAGCAGAAGCAGCAGAAACAAGAGGACACAAGGUGUCGAAGCCACUGGACACGCGGCAGCUGAGAACAGUGCCUCGGAGACCCGGGACACCAGGGAACUCGGCCCGGGACGGGGCGGAGCAGAAGAGGCCUCCUGCUCCAUGGUCUCGGUUGGUGCCAUGUCGCCGGGGGUGUGUGAGAUGACCAAGCUGUGUGUCAUAACCCCCAAGGCAGCAGGUCACGAAUCACAUGAAAUAUAAAUGGUCUAAAUGCUCCAACUGAAAACCAAAGGUUGUCAGAUUGGAAAAACACCAAGACCCAAUGAUGUGAUUCCCCCAAGAAAUCCACUUUAAAUACAAAGACUUAAGAACAGGUUUUAAAAAACACAAAACUGGAAAAAGUUAAAGCAGGCUACCCCUGAUCACAGAGAGCUGGCGUGACCACACUAACAUCCAAGCAGAAGCACCUCAGGCCUCGGCGGCGAGACAGGCGCGUGGGCUGGGGCACAGCCACCAGGCUGCGGGAGGAGCGGAGGCUUACACACCCCCACGUGUGGUGAAUCUCACCUACACCAGUGAAAUGAGCCAGACCCCCCAAGAAAAGAAAAAAAAAGGAAAGCUACAUUGUUACACUUCUAAAAGUUGUGGAAGAUGCCUAUUGAUCCAUCGGGGAGCCAGGAGGCAGGUGCUGUGGCCGGCACAGUCGCCUGUCACAAGCAUCCAGCUGACGUCGGUCUGGGUGCCCGCUCCCCCGGCUGCCUCAGCAGAAUGAGUGACCGGGCUGCUCUGGGGCCAGGCCCAGACCCGAGGCCUCCUCCGCCUGGGGCAGGGAGCCCGGGGCCCAGGCGCGAGCAGAGGAUGGAGCCCUGCCCGGCGUGAGGAGGGCCGCUCGCGGCGCUGGCAGGAGGGACUUGUGAUCUGGGAGGUGCUCCGCC
rnacentral:lncRNA from 1 species